UACGUAGGGGGCAAGCGUGUCCGGAUUUAUUGGGCGUAAAGAGCGUGUAGGCGGUUUUACAGGUCCGCUGUGAAAACUCGAGGCUCAACCUCGAGCUGUCGGUGGAAACCGUAAGGCUAGAGUCCGGAAGAGGCGAGUGGAAUUCCCGGUGUAGCGGUGAAAUGACGCAGAUAUCGGGAGGAACACCCAAUGGGCCGAAGG
rnacentral:rRNA from 1 species